rnacentral:rRNA from 1 species
GAGUUUGAUAAUGGCUCAGGGCGAACGCUGGCGGUGUGCUUAACACAUGCAAGUCGAACGGUAAGGCCCUUUUCGGGGGUACACGAGUGGCGAACGGGUGAGUAACACGUGAGUAACCUGCCCUCAUCUCUGGGAUAACAGUCGGAAACGGUUGCUAAUACUGGAUAUGAGCCUGCAAGGCAUCUUGUGGGUUGGAAAGAUUUUUUGGUUGGGGAUGGACUCGCGGCCUAUCAGCUUGUUGGUGAGGUAGUGGCUCACCAAGGCUUCGACGGGUAGCCGGCCUGAGAGGGCGACCGGCCACAUUGGGACUGAGAUACGGCCCAAACUCCUACGGGAGGCAGCAGUGGGGAAUAUUGCACAAUGGACGGAAGUCUGAUGCAGCAACGCCGCGUGCGGGAUGACGGCCUUCGGGUUGUAAACCGCUUUCAAUUGUGACGAAGCUUUUUGUGACGGUAGCAGUAGAAGAAGCACCGGCUAACUACGUGCCAGCAGCCGCGGUGAUACGUAGGGUGCGAGCGUUGUCCGGAUUUAUUGGGCGUAAAGAGCUUGUAGGUGGUUUGUCGCGUCGGGAGUGAAAACUCAGGGCUUAACUCUGAGCUUGCUUUCGAUACGGGCUGACUUGAGGGAGGUAGGGGAGAAUGGAAUUCCUGGUGGAGCGGUGGAAUGCGCAGAUAUCAGGAGGAACACCGGUGGCGAAGGCGGUUCUCUGGACCUUUUCUGACGCUGAGAAGCGAAAGCGUGGGGAGCGAACAGGCUUAGAUACCCUGGUAGUCCACGCUGUAAACGGUGGGUACUAGGUGUGGGGGGCAUUCCACGUUCUCCGUGCCGUAGCUAACGCAUUAAGUACCCCGCCUGGGGAGUACGGCCGCAAGGCUAAAACUCAAAGGAAUUGACGGGGCCCCGCACAAGCGGCGGAGCAUGCGGAUUAAUUCGAUGCAACGCGAAGAACCUUACCUGGGUUUGACAUAUGCCGGAAGCGUUCAGAGAUGGGCGUGCCUUUUUGGUCGGUUUACAGGUGGUGCAUGGCUGUCGUCAGCUCGUGUCGUGAGAUGUUGGGUUAAGUCCCGCAACGAGCGCAACCCUCGUCCAAUGUUGCCAGCGGGUUAUGCCGGGGACUCAUUGGAGACCGCCGGGGUCAACUCGGAGGAAGGUGGGGAUGACGUCAAGUCAUCAUGCCCCUUAUGUCCAGGGCUUCACGCAUGCUACAAUGGCCGGUACAGUGAGCUGCGAGCCUGUGAGGGUGAGCGAAUCUCUAAAAGCCGGUCUCAGUUCGGAUUGGGGUCUGCAACUCGACCCCAUGAAGUCGGAGUCGCUAGUAAUCGCAGAUCAGCAACGCUGCGGUGAAUGCGUUCCCGGGGCUUGCACACACCGCCCGUC